rnacentral:lncRNA from 1 species
ACGCACGGGCAGCAAGCAUUUUCAGCGAGAGGAGAGCACGGAAGGACGCAAACGCACGCGCGCGAAACAAUCGAUUAGCUGAGUGCUUGGUGAUCUGUUGGUGUAGCUAGAUCUUGAUUACCAGAUUCUAUUUCAGUGACACUGUGAUUCUCAGCCCCGUGGGCGCCGGCUUUCGCGUUUGCGGCUUCUUCAUGCACGAUGGUUUACUUCUGCAUACCGUUGUGAAAGUCAAGCGGCCGAGCAUCAAGAGGAAUUUCAUUUCAUGAGUUCCCCGUGACCGAUAUUAGAAACCAAUGCUUAUAGUUAUGCUUUAUGAUUUAGCCUAUGAUUAUUCUUACGGUUUAGCUUAUGGUUAUGCUUUAUGAUUUAGCCUAUGGAUAUGCUUACGGUUUAACUUAUGGAUAUGCUUAUGGUUUAAGUUAUUGAUAUGCUUACGGUUUACCUUAUGCUUUAUGAUUUAGCCUAUGGUUAUAUAUGCUUACGGUUUCACUUAUGGAUAUGCUGAAGAUUUGGUAAGCUUAUGGUUAUGCUAUACGUGUGCCUUUUGUAGUGAUGCAAAUUGCUUAUGAAUUAUGUAUACCAUAAGUUAUGCAGGAUUAUUAAUCUUCUUUAUUCAUCGUUGUUGGGCACAUUGUCUUGCGAUUUCUGUACAGCCAUAAACACAGCUCU